ensembl:lncRNA
AGAUGAACCAAAUAUUCUGUAACAUAAAUGGAUUUGUGAAUUGUAUGCAUGCUGCAUGAAAACUUAAAAAAAACACUGCAUGAGAAAAAAAAAAGGGGGGGAACAGCUGAGGAAAAAUAUAUGACAUCAUUGUCGAGAAGCAAGGCCUUAGAGAGGGCUCGACUUUGUGAUUCUGAUUCUUAUCUGCCCACAACUUCUUAUUUUGGGAGGAAGCUUUUACAGCUUGGGUUUACAGCCCUCUCUCCCUCCAAAUGGGGCCGUGACUGAGUGUGAUGACCUCACCCUGUUUCUACUAAACUCUCUCUUACUCCUCUCCUCCCUCACCCCCUCUCACUUUCUCGCAGUCUGUGCGGGAGUUAGGCUGGAGUCACGUUCUCCACAGUUCCUGCAGUCUGCAUCUCAAAAGUGUCUCUGCAGUGUCUCAGACGACUUCAGAGUGGACCAUUUUAGCUUUGUUGACUGGCUUGGUUGACUUCAGACUUGAAUUUGAAUGGAUUUACCAGAAGAAGGAUUCUUUUAAACAAUGAGAAUGAUGUUUUAUUGUUUUAUGGUUACUUGUUCCUCAAUCAGAUGAUUAAAGCAAGAACAGCAAUGAAGAGGAUCCAACCUUUUACUAUUGGGACCAAGUUAUCUGUCCCCUCCGAAAACAAAUGUCUGGAUUUUGUGGGCAACAUCCUUCCUGUACCGGUUCUGGACUGCUGUGAACUAAAAAACAACUCUAACAAUGACGAUUCUCCUUUCCACGAGGAGAGAUUGUCCACAUCUACACCCGUGGAAGCACUUUCAGAUGAUAUUAAAGAGGAAGAUGACAGGGACUCUGCGUCCCCAUCAGCUUCUUCCAGAUCCAUCAGGAAGAUUGCUAUGUGUGCAAAUGUUGAAAGCCAGACUGUCAGUGACUUUAAUGUGACAAACCAUGAGACAAAUAAGCCAAGUACUUCUACUGAAAAGCUGUUUCUUGUUGAGGAAAGAUUGACUGACAAGUCCGGUGCACAGCUGGAGACUGAUCCAUAUACUAAAGGAAGGAAGAUAAAGAACCUUCAUUACGACUAUAGCAUGCCAACUUUCCCACAUGAUCAACCAGAGGACGCGUCUCAGAGCCAAAGGAGAGACCUCAAAGACUUUGAGAACUCUCUCAUCCAACUGACGACAAGUCUGGACUUGAUGCAGGAGGAACCAGAAAAACCUCUUCAGAAGAAGACAGAUGCUGUAGAUUUAGGAUUGGAAAUGUUUAGAAGAAGACAAAGCCCGGGGGACCACGUUGACAAAUCGUGGCUAAAGUUGAGGUCACUCCUGAGGGACUAUCAUCAGGAUCUCAUGUUGGCUUUAGACGUCUCAUCAUUUUACCAACAAGCCGACAGCAUUAUUGGCGCCAUCAACAGCAAGAGGAACUGUGUACUGGUGGACGACAUCCCAAAAAGUGACAAAGAGACCAUAGAAAUUGCCUGUCAGAUAAGUAUGCUGAAUGAGUCUGUGUCUCGGCUGUCAACUCUCCACCCAACCCUGGCCAGAAGAGUUACAUGCAAACAGGCCGAGGUGAAGGAGAACUGGGCACUUCUCCAGGAGUUUCUCCGGAACCAGAAGACAGAUGUUUCUUCAAAACGCCCGUCAGCGUUACCCGCUGAUCCUCUAACCACAUGCCCUGACUCACAGAGCUUUGCUAGAAAUGAGGGUCACAGCAUAAUGGGAAAAGACGUCAAAGAAGAGCAAAACCGUCUCCGAGGAUUUGAGUGCUCUCAAGGCCUGUGGACCCAUAGGAUGUGGAGUCCGGUUGAGGAAUGUUCUAUAGGGAGUCAAGUCUCACUGUUGGAAAGCAGCUGUUCCAAGCUGGACAACAUCUCAGAAAAGCAGGACAGGAAGAGCUGUAUCGACCAGAUGGCUCAAACAACCCCUGUUUCCUCUCAAGAAUGUCUCAUACCCAAUAAGCUGUUGAAAGAAUCGACGACAUCCACUGGAAUGAAUGAAGAGCAUGACUGCUCAAAGCAAAGACAAGACCACAAAAUAGAGGAGCUCCUAAGCCAGGUGGAGGUCCUUUGGGAUGCUCUGCAAAAGAAAUAUGGAGAGAACAAUAAGACUGAACCGGCGGAAAAAGAACAAUCUGGAGAUGAAGCUGCACAGAUGGUUUCAGAUCUUACAGUUUCAAACAAUCUCCUGGAAAAAGUAGAGGAAGGCAGUUCAGGAAUGCUUGAAAAGUUCCUUGAACUUCUUGAUCCCAGUGGUUAUCACAAAAUAAAUCAGGCUCAUUAUAAUAUCAUUGAAGGAGAGGUGAGAGAAAUGGAGAGACUAGACAGUCAGCUAAAGGUUCCUUCCCCAGAACAGAGAGACCUUCUCAGGGAAGAGGUUCAGGCAAUCCUGCAGGCUUGGGAGGAAGUAGGCCGCAACAUGGCUGAAAACAGAAGCCGUCUGGAGAAGUUCCACCAGAUUCAGGACUACUUCGAAAACUAUCUUGCCAUGAUUACGUGGACAGAGAACACCAGAUCCUGUAUCCUUGCCGGUGGCUCUGCUUGGAGAGAGAGUGAAGUUGCAGAGAUUGAUCACAGCAUUGAAACCAAGCUGGAUGAGUUUAGCAAACUGGCUGCAGCUGGUCAAAUGCUUAUGCAAGAUGAGAGUCAGUUUAGAGACAUUAUCAAGGAGAGAACAGAUGAGUUGCAAAGCAUGCUGGGAUGGAUCCAGGUGAACUGGCACGUUCAAAGAGAGCAGCUUAAAAGAAACCAGAAUGGGAGACCAGAGUCAACAAACGAUCCUGUUCAACAGCAGGCUAUACCUUUCAAAAAACCUUCUGAUGGUCUUUGCAUUAUAAAUGGAGAGGUCAAAGGAAGUACUGCUGAAACACAGCCCUCUCAAAACAACUUCGAGCAACAGAAUGGGAGGCAUGAUGUGUCCAGUGUUGUUAGUCAGGAGUCAUGCCUUUCAAAGACAUCCCUAGGCUCUAGCAUCUGUCUCAUUUUGAGCUUUGAUGACCAGUCUUCAGGCAUUAACCAAGUGACAAAGCAAUGGUCCCCCAACAAUAAUGAAAUACUUGAAGAGUCAGCAAGCAGCAUUCAGGCAGACAGCUGUCAAUCACAGGACACAACCUCAAUGCAAAUACAACAGCCACAAGAAAUUCUCCAGGAAAGAUGGCCGAAUGAAUCAGUCAAGAGUAAAGACACCAAACCCAAGUCAUCUUGUGUGAAUCUUGCACAGCUGCAAAUCAAAAACCAAGGAGAACCAGACCAGUCACCAAGCAAAGAAGAAAUAUCCAACCAGUUGUCCACAUAUAACACUGAAUCAUCAUUUUGCAAUCACCUACCAGAUAAUCUGCAGUCCAACAACAACCAAACAUAUCUGCAACCAUCACCAGAUGUCGAUCAGAUGCAAAAUCCUGAGAAUCAAGCACAAAAAACUCAGUCACAAAGCUACAGCCCGAACCGGAUGCAAAAAUCUGCACACAACAAUAUAGAAUCAAACCAAAACCAAAGUGACGACCACCUGCGGUCUGAAGUCACUCAUAGAGUGUUCACGUAUUUGCACGUCUCGGAUAGUUACAGAUCAACAGGGCAAGUCUUGGAGGUCACAUCCCCAACACAUGCAGCAGAAAAUGUCACACCUGAGAGGAGAACGGUUUAUAAUCACAACAGAUUCAAGCCAAGCUCUUUGUUCAAGCUGAAAGAGCCAAUCACAAAUGAGGAAGAAAACCAGCGAAGGAACUCUCUGCUUGGCUCUGUAGGAUCGGAAAGGUCUGGCAAACCUUCAAGCAUUUUCAGGCGAAGGUGUAACACUUGGCCAGAAGGAGAAGGGAGAGUGAAAGAAAGUCAAUCAAACUCCAAACUUCAGGUUUUUAUUAAAAAAAACAUGUUGCCGGUGAAUUCUGUCAUCGAUAACAAGUCCAACUCUUUUCCAGAAGACAACUUGCCUAAUGCUGUCAAGACUUCAAGUGGACCGGUUAAAAACAUCUGCUCUUAUUUGUCUCUAGGAUCCACUCUUAGCUUCAGUCUUCCCAAGUGCUUUCACAACAGUGUCUUAGACAUGCAAAAUAAAGAGGAGAUUCAACCUGUCCAGAUUUAUGAUGACUCAGACAACCAAAAAAUACCCUCAGCUCGAACGCCACAGUCAGAAAUGGAGGUAGAACCAGUGAUACAUACUAAACAAACUGAAAUAAACCUUCAUACAGUAGAUAUGGAAGAUUGGGACAAUACAGAAGAACCAACCACUGAGGUUGAGACCCAACAGUUAAACCAAAUUAAUGAAAACACAGAACCUGUCUUGAGGGUUUUCACGUCGGUUGAAUAUGAAGAACCUGAUCAUGUUUCCGCCAGCCGUCACAAAGCCUCUUCUCCAGUGGUCAAUGGCUCUGCCUUGGUCACUCACUGCAGGCCUCUGUGUCCUUCUUCAUCAGGUGGUCACAGUUGCUUAAGUGUUUACACUAAAAUAAAAGACCUGAAUGGCCACUUAUAUUACACAUCCAAAUACAUGAAGAUAAACCCCUCCAAAAAAUUGUUCCCUAAUGGCCCAGGUUCUCGUAAGAGCGGCCGCGUCAUAAACUGUGGUGUGAGAGACUGUGCAGUGUGUUUCAGUGAUACAGUGAAAGAGACAAGUGUAGACUGGGCAGAGAAACCUGACAUAAGCACGGAGGAACUUCUUAAGCCAGGCCACUGGUUAUUCCAGCAGGAGGAAGAGGAACUGGAAGAUAUCUGGAGAGGAAGAGUGGGUAAUCUAACUUCAAACUGUACUGCGGAAACAAAUACGGAUGAAGAAACAGGGCUAUCAAUCAAAACCAACAGGGGACAGGUAGCCCACCCACUGCAUGGAUGAGAUGGCGGUUUUGGACACGUUAAUGGUCACAUCAUUGACUAGAUGGAUUAUUUCUUGGAUCAAUUUAUCUGCUGUACAUUUAGUAUGCUGUGUUUGUAUUAUUGUAUUUCAGUUGUAUUCUUCUCUAUAUCAACAUGGUAAAUUUAAUUCUAAGAUCAUGUCACAUACAAUGCAGUUUGAAAUUUCAUUACCAAACUCCAGAUGGCGCCCUUGUCACGCUUAUGCGUACUGUGCAGCAUUAGGUUAAACACAGAGGAAUGGUCAACCCAAGUACAAUAAAAAUGCACCUCUGUGCA